rnacentral:rRNA from 1 species
AGAGUUUGAUCCUGGCUCAGGAUGAACGCUAGCUACAGGCUUAACACAUGCAAGUCGAGGGGCAGCAUUUUAGUUUGCUUGCAAACUGAAGAUGGCGACCGGCGCACGGGUGAGUAACACGUAUCCAACCUGCCGAUAACUCCGGAAUAGCCUUUCGAAAGAAAGAUUAAUACCGGAUGGCAUACGAAUAUCGCAUGAUAUUUUUAUUAAAGAAUUUCGGUUAUCGAUGGGGAUGCGUUCCAUUAGUUUGUUGGCGGGGUAACGGCCCACCAAGACUACGAUGGAUAGGGGUUCUGAGAGGAAGGGCCCCCACAUUGGAACUGAGACACGGUCCAAACUCCUACGGGAGGCAGCAGUGAGGAAUAUUGGUCAAUGGGCGAGAGCCUGAACCAGCCAAGUAGCGUGAAGGAUGACUGCCCUAUGGGUUGUAAACUUCUUUUAUAAAGGAAUAAAGUCGGGUAUGUAUACCCGUUUGCAUGUACUUUAUGAAUAAGGAUCGGCUAACUCCGUGCCAGCAGCCGCGGUAAUACGGAGGAUCCGAGCGUUAUCCGGAUUUAUUGGGUUUAAAGGGAGCGUAGGUGGAUUGUUAAGUCAGUUGUGAAAGUUUGCGGCUCAACCGUAAAAUUGCAGUUGAAACUGGCAGUCUUGAGUACAGUAGAGGUGGGCGGAAUUCGUGGUGUAGCGGUGAAAUGCUUAGAUAUCACGAAGAACUCCGAUUGCGAAGGCAGCUCACUAGACUGUCACUGACACUGAUGCUCGAAAGUGUGGGUAUCAAACAGGAUUAGAUACCCUGGUAGUCCACACAGUAAACGAUGAAUACUCGCUGUUUGCGAUAUACAGUAAGCGGCCAAGCGAAAGCGUUAAGUAUUCCACCUGGGGAGUACGCCGGCAACGGUGAAACUCAAAGGAAUUGACGGGGGCCCGCACAAGCGGAGGAACAUGUGGUUUAA